GACCUUCCAGAAAAUGUUGACAUCACUCCGAAGCAGCCCACAAUCAUUGUGAAGGAGCCCCGGGGAACUCUUUGGAGAGACUUCAGUCUCAUCAGUGUAGAACUGAAUCUCCUUUGUGGGGGAAAGGAAAAAAAAGACAAAGAGGCUCUGGUUGGACAAACCAAGGAAAAGACCACUGUCAGAACCAUCUGCAGGCAUGCUCAGAACAUGAUCAAGGGUGUUAUGCUGGGCUUCCAUUACAAGAUGAGGUCUGUGUGAGCUAGCUUUCUCACCAAUGUCUUUAUUCAGGAGAAUGGGUCUUUGGCGGAAAUCCGAAGUUUCAUGGGUGAAAAAAUUCAUCCAGAGUGUUCGGAUGAGGGCAGGUGCUGCUUGCUCUGUCUCUCAAGCCCAGAAUGAUGAAUUAAUCAUUGUAAAAAAUUAUGCUGAACUUGUUUUAACCUAGGUGGCUCUGACUGAGCCACAUCAGCUAAAAACAAGGAUAUCAGAAAGCUGUUGGAUGCUAUCUAUUUAUCUGAAAAGGGA
rnacentral:lncRNA from 1 species